ACCUACCUACCUACCUACCUAUGUCCCAGUCACCCCCCUCUAUACAGUAUUUAAUUUGAGCUUUCAUGGGUUAAGCCCACUUGAGAGAACAGGACAAAUAUUUAUACCUGGCAUCAAAACACAGAGACCGUUAUCCCUGCGCAAGGUGUAUGCCUGUGGCUUGGCCUGCAUGGAUAUCCUGCAAUUCGUGCAUUCCCGUGUCCAUCCAUGGACAGGAUCCUGAGUCGGAAAGCCGAGUUGGAAAACAUGCCUGGUUAUGCUUACAAAGUCCCAGAUUCCUCCAGCCUGUUAGAUAUUAUGACAUUCAAGAUGAGAAUGGUCAAAAUCUGGGAGCUCCGAGUCCAGGAAAAGAAACGUUGUCGGCCUCUGGACGAAACAGGUCUCUUCUUACAAGCUGAAAACAGGCUGUCUGACUGCACAACCGGAUGUGCUAAUUUACAGCCACCCGUGCUGGUGGGACGCUAUGCAAGGAUUGUGAUCUUUCUGAAAAUAAAUGGCGCUUUUGUACAUUGA